rnacentral:rRNA from 1 species
AAUGCAAGUCGUACGCUUCUUUUUCCACCGGAGCUUGCUCCACCGGAAAAAGAAGAGUGGCGAACGGGUGAGUAACACGUGGGUAACCUGCCCAUCAGAAGGGGAUAACACUUGGAAACAGGUGCUAAUACCGUAUAACAAUCGAAACCGCAUGGUUUUGAUUUGAAAGGCGCUUUCGGGUGUCGCUGAUGGAUGGACCCGCGGUGCAUUAGCUAGUUGGUGAGGUAACGGCUCACCAAGGCCACGAUGCAUAGCCGACCUGAGAGGGUGAUCGGCCACAUUGGGACUGAGACACGGCCCAAACUCCUACGGGAGGCAGCAGUAGGGAAUCUUCGGCAAUGGACGAAAGUCUGACCGAGCAACGCCGCGUGAGUGAAGAAGGUUUUCGGAUCGUAAAACUCUGUUGUUAGAGAAGAACAAGGAUGAGAGUAACUGUUCAUCCCUUGACGGUAUCUAACCAGAAAGCCACGGCUAACUACGUGCCAGCAGCCGCGGUAAUACGUAGGUGGCAAGCGUUGUCCGGAUUUAUUGGGCGUAAAGCGAGCGCAGGCGGUUUCUUAAGUCUGAUGUGAAAGCCCCCGGCUCAACCGGGGAGGGUCAUUGGAAACUGGGAGACUUGAGUGCAGAAGAGGAGAGUGGAAUUCCAUGUGUAGCGGUGAAAUGCGUAGAUAUAUGGAGGAACACCAGUGGCGAAGGCGGCUCUCUGGUCUGUAACUGACGCUGAGGCUCGAAAGCGUGGGGAGCAAACAGGAUUAGAUACCCUGGUAGUCCACGCCGUAAACGAUGAGUGCUAAGUGUUGGAGGGUUUCCGCCCUUCAGUGCUGCAGCUAACGCAUUAAGCACUCCGCCUGGGGAGUACGACCGCAAGGUUGAAACUCAAAGGAAUUGACGGGGGCCCGCACAAGCGGUGGAGCAUGUGGUUUAAUUCGAAGCAACGCGAAGAACCUUACCAGGUCUUGACAUCCUUUGACCACUCUAGAGAUAGAGCUUCCCCUUCGGGGGCAAAGUGACAGGUGGUGCAUGGUUGUCGUCAGCUCGUGUCGUGAGAUGUUGGGUUAAGUCCCGCAACGAGCGCAACCCUUAUUGUUAGUUGCCAUCAUUCAGUUGGGCACUCUAGCAAGACUGCCGGUGACAAACCGGAGGAAGGUGGGGAUGACGUCAAAUCAUCAUGCCCCUUAUGACCUGGGCUACACACGUGCUACAAUGGGAAGUACAACGAGUCGCGAAGUCGCGAGGCUAAGCUAAUCUCUUAAAGCUUCUCUCAGUUCGGAUUGUAGGCUGCAACUCGCCUACAUGAAGCCGGAAUCGCUAGUAAUCGCGGAUCAGCACGCCGCGGUGAAUACGUUCCCGGGCCUUGUACACACCGCCCGUCACACCACGAGAGUUUGUAACACCCGAAGUCGGUGAGGUAACCUUUUGGAGCCAGCCGCC